GACGAACGCUGGCGGCGUGCUUAACACAUGCAAGUCGAACGAUGAAGAAGAGAAACGCGAACUUCGGUUCAAAUUUCACUUCGGAUUAGUGGCAGACGGGUGAGUAACGCGUGAGCAACCUACCUCUUACAAAGGGAUAGCCUCGGGAAACCGUGAUUAAUACCAUGUGACACAUUCAUAAGGCAUCUUAAGAAUGUUAAAGCUACGGCGGUAAGAGAUGGGCUCGCGUCCCAUUAGCUAGUUGGUGAGGUAACGGCCCACCAAGGCGACGAUGGGUAACCGGCCUGAGAGGGUGAACGGUCACAUUGGAACUGAGACACGGUCCAAACUCCUACGGGAGGCAGCAGUGGGGAAUAUUGCACAAUGGAGGGAACUCUGAUGCAGCGACGCCGCGUGAGCGAUGAAGGAAUUCGUUUCGUAAAGCUCUGUUCUAUGGGAAGAAAAGGACUGUACCAUAGGAGAAAGCCCCGGCUAAAUACGUGC
rnacentral:rRNA from 1 species